rnacentral:rRNA from 1 species
GAUCCUGGCUCAGGACGAACGCUGGCGGCGUGCUUAACACAUGCAAGUCGAACGAUGAACCACUUCGGUGGGGAUUAGUGGCGAACGGGUGAGUAACACGUGGGCAAUCUGCCCUGCACUCUGGGACAAGCCCUGGAAACGGGGUCUAAUACCGGAUACUGACCACCUUGGGCAUCCAUGGUGGUCGAAAGCUCCGGCGGUGCAGGAUGAGCCCGCGGCCUAUCAGCUUGUUGGUGAGGUAGUGGCUCACCAAGGCGACGACGGGUAGCCGGCCUGAGAGGGCGACCGGCCACACUGGGACUGAGACACGGCCCAGACUCCUACGGGAGGCAGCAGUGGGGAAUAUUGCACAAUGGGCGAAAGCCUGAUGCAGCGACGCCGCGUGAGGGAUGACGGCCUUCGGGUUGUAAACCUCUUUCAGCNNGAAGAAGCGAAAGUGAC